GGGGGACUCUAGCGGAACUGCCAGCGUAAGCUGCGAGGAAGGUGGGGAUGACGUCAAAUCAGCACGGCCCUUACGUCCAGGGCUACACACGUGUUACAAUGGCCAGUACAGAGGGCAGCCACCCCGCGAGGGGGCGCUAAUCCUAAAAGCUGGUCCCAGUUCGGAUCGGAGUCUGCAACCCGACUCCGUGAAGCUGGAUUCGCUAGUAAUCGCGCAUCAGCCACGGCGCGGUGAAUACGUUCCCGGGCCUU
rnacentral:rRNA from 1 species